rnacentral:miRNA from 1 species
GGUUUGUUUGUCUGGUUCAAGG